rnacentral:rRNA from 1 species
UUCGGAGUUGACGAUAAUGGAAUGAGCGGCGGACGGGUGAGUAACACGUAGGCAACCUGCCUGUAAGACUGGGAUAACUCGUGGAAACGCGAGCUAAUACCGGAUAACACUUUUCAUCUCCUGAUGAGAAGUUGAAAGGCGGCUUUUGCUGUCACUUACAGAUGGGCCUGCGGCGCAUUAGCUAGUUGGUAAGGUAACGGCUUACCAAGGCGACGAUGCGUAGCCGACCUGAGAGGGUGAUCGGCCACACUGGGACUGAGACACGGCCCAGACUCCUACGGGAGGCAGCAGUAGGGAAUCUUCCGCAAUGGACGAAAGUCUGACGGAGCAACGCCGCGUGAGUGAUGAAGGUUUUCGGAUCGUAAAACUCUGUUGUUAGGGAAGAACAAGUACUAUAGUAACUGAUAGUACCUUGACGGUACCUAACCAGAAAGCCACGGCUAACUACGUGCCAGCAGCCGCGGUAAUACGUAGGUGGCAAGCGUUGUCCGGAAUUAUUGGGCGUAAAGCGCUCGCAGGCGGUUCUUUAAGUCUGAUGUGAAAUCUUACGGCUCAACCGUAAACGUGCAUUGGAAACUGGGGAACUUGAGUGCAGAAGA